rnacentral:rRNA from 1 species
UACGUAGGGGGCAAGCGUUGUCCGGAUUUAUUGGGCGUAAAGCGCUCGCAGGCGGCUCGAUGCGUCGUGCGUGAAACACCCCGGCUCAACUGGGGAGGGUCGUGCGAUACGGUCGGGCUUGAGGCCAGUAGGGGAUGCGGAAUUCCGGGUGUAGUGGUGGAAUGCGUAGAGAUCGGAAAGAACACCAAUGGCGAAAGCACUCUGCUGGGCCGACACUGACACUGAGAGACGAAAGCUAGGGGAGCGAAUGGG